AUCUAUUCUGUGUUGACACCCAUUUUGAAGCUACUUGUUGUUUAGUUUAUGUAUCAGUUAUAAUAUGAUUUAUCUUCCUUUUCUGGCUAAAAUUAAGCAAAUUUUCUGUACAGUAAUUGAAGUUAGCUUCAGAAUAUUAUUCUUGUACUAAACAAGGUAUCCUAGUUUGUGAAAAUAUUAAUACAUUAGCAUGUUUGCAAUUGUCAAAAUUCUUAUUCUUUUCAGAUAAGAUGAGAGGCCAUAUUAGCCUCAGAGAUAGUUGAAGGCGAGAUACUAAUAAUGAUUAACAAAUUUUUUAUGAACCAUAUAGAUAUUGUAUGAAGGAUAAUACAGGAUAAGUGCUUCAGAUAUAAGACACUGAUUGUACUUAACAAAUUGUAUGGUGCUAACUUUGGAAAAAAUAGUUGCCUGCGAGGGAUGAUCGUUCAAAGACAAACUCAAGAUUGAAUCGUAAAGGAUCAUUAGCGUAAUGGUUUUGUCCUUGGUGGACUCUUCAUCUACUCUUUCAUACUCUGGGUUGACAAUCAAAAUCUCAAAACUUGAUUGCUGGGUUUGAGAUGAGUAUUUGCUAUCAGUCCCUGGGGUUUUAUGCAACUCUUGUUGUAUUUCUUGUUUGGACGGUUUCAUACUCUUAUAACCUAUUAGGAUGUGUAUAUCAUCCAUUGUAAUAUCUCGUUGUCAAAUCUCUAAAAAAUAGAUGGUGUAACUUGUUGUUCUAA